rnacentral:lncRNA from 1 species
AGAACCAGCUCUUGUGGCAGAGGCAUCUGCUGAGAGGCUGCAGUGGUGUCAUAGUACAGGCUGGGUUAGUAGCCAGAGAUUAAUGUAAUUUAUGACCUACAUGUGUUCCUAAAUAGUAAUGGAGAAUUUUUCCUCAGAUUACUGGGAAAAACAUGUAACUUCUUGGACCUUGAAAAGGAAGCUUUAAGAUUUUUAAGGAGCACAUUUAAACCUAACACAGCUGGAAGAUUUCUCCACUGAUUUAAUGUGCACAGACUCAGACUCUUAGUAUCUGAGAAGAGAAUCAAGAGAAAGACAUACUCAGUUGAAAGAGAAUUAGCUUUAAAGAAGACUCAGGAUAUUAACAUCCCUGUUCUCCCCAUCAUGGGCUUCUGUGUGUUCUCUGCAAAAGCCCAGCCUCUCACUAUGCCUGUCCAGCCUUUCAGAAU